UACGUAGGGAGCAAGCGUUAUCCGGACUUAUUGGGUGUAAAGGGUGCGUAGACGGGAUUACAAGUUGGUUGUGAAACCCCUCAGCUCAACUGAGGAACUGCAACCAAAACUAUAAUUCUUGAGUGCAGGAGAGGAAAGUGGAAUUCCUAGUGUAGCGGUGAAAUGCGUAGAUAUUAGGAAGAACACCGGUGGCGAAGGCGACUUUCUGGACUGUAACUGACGUUGAGGCACGAAAGUGUGGGGAGCAAACAGG
rnacentral:rRNA from 1 species